UACGUAGGGGCCUAGCGUUGUCCGGAAUUAUUGGGCGUAAAGAGCUCGUAGGCGGUUCGGCAAGUCGGAUGUGAAAUCUCCACGCUCAACGUGGAGGGGCCAUUCGAAACUGCCGUGACUCGAGUCCGGUAGGGGAGUGUGGAAUUCCCGGUGUAGCGGUGAAAUGCGCAGAUAUCGGGAGGAACACCAGUAGCGAAGGCGGCACUCUGGGCCGGUACUGACGCUGAGGAACGAAAGCGUGGGGAGCGAACAGG
rnacentral:rRNA from 1 species